AUCCAGCUGACGAGUCCCAAAUAGGACGAAACACGCCUCCUGCAU
rnacentral:hammerhead_ribozyme from 1 species